rnacentral:rRNA from 1 species
CACGUAGGGGCCGAGCGUUGUCCGGAGUUACUGGGCGUAAAGGGCGCGCAGGCGGCCGCGUGGGCCCGGCGUGAAAGCCCCCGGCUCAACCGGGGAGGGUCGUCGGGGACCGCGCGGCUUGGGAGCGGUAGGGGCCGGUGGAAUCCCCGGUGUAGUGGUGAAAUGCGUAGAGAUCGGGGGGAACACCCGUGGCGAAGGCGGCCGGCUGGGCCGACUCCGACGCUGAGGCGCGAAGGCGUGGGGAGCGAACGGG